GUUAUUGGACAUAUACAGCUUAUGAAUGUUGUACAGAUCCAUCUGCAAAUGAUGGGUCUUAAGUGUCCAGAUGUCAACUGUGACUGUUUCCUCUGUAAGAGAGGAGAGCAAAUUCAACAUGCUAGAAGACCAUCUUGAAUGGGGGAAGGGCAGGAAGGAGAGAGAAUUCCAGAGAAGAAACAGAGGAACUGAGAAGAUCCAAACAGUUGAACUCAUUUCUCUUUGGGAAGCCCACCAGGAAGGUUGAUCUGAGUGAACCUCUGAGCCUGGAGCAUCCUCCUGUGAAGCCUGACCCUCAGUAUCCAGUGGAAGACAAACCAGACUGCAGAGAGCCCCAGGUGCUGUUUUCAAAGAAGAUUAAGAGGGAUUUUAUCUUGGUGAAAUUCUAUUCCAAGAUGGGUGAAAAAAAUUCCCCAAAGAAAGUGAAAGAUGAAUGGAUUAAAGUACAGCUUCUAAAUGAUUCAUUUUCGAUCAACGAGAGACUACCACUAACAUUUAAUAAAGACUCUAGUUCGUCUGCUAACUAUAAAGGAACCAAUGUAUGUAAAGUGAAAUAAUAUUUGUAAAGUGCUUAGUAAAAGGCCAGACUUAUAGUAUAUGCUUAAUAAAAAUGUGUUCCCUGUUUGAUAAAA